rnacentral:rRNA from 1 species
UACGUAGGUGGCAAGCGUUAUCCGGAAUUAUUGGGCGUAAAGAGCGCGCAGGUGGUUGAUUAAGUCUGAUGUGAAAGCCCACGGCUUAACCGUGGAGGGUCAUUGGAAACUGGUGAACUUGAGUGCAGAAGAGGGAAGUGGAAUUCCAUGUGUAGCGGUGAAAUGCGUAGAGAUAUGGAGGAACACCAGUGGCGAAGGCGGCUUCCUGGUCUGUAACUGACACUGAGGCGCGAAAGCUAGGGUAGCAAACGGG